AAAGUUUCAGAUACAAGAGAUGUUAAAUGGAAACUGGCAAGGGGAAUAUGCAUCACAGGCAGUUCCUUGAGGGCAAAAACAUCAAAUUUGCUGGUGGUAUAUCCUCCUAGAUCUUUGUAUCCUGAACAGGUUACCCCAAUCCGUGCUCUCCAGAUCAGUAGUGAUUUAGCUGUUUGUCCUUCGGGCAUGUUUGCACAUUCAUACUCAUCUACAUGCUGCAGUUUGUGAGUGCCGUGCAACAGUUCCUUUCUUUGUUCAACACCACUUAAAUCCAUAGUUUAAGUGGAGUAGGGAUAUCUCCCCCAGUAUGUUCUGUUUUGAUUGUAUGUAGCCUUACGUUUUGGCUUGAGUUUAAGUGGACUAUGGAUUUAUUAAUAGUAUGUUCUGUUUUGAUUGUAUGUACCCUUAUGUUUUGGCUUGAGUUUAAGUGGACUAUGGAUUUAU